UAGUGUUGUCUACAUCAACUA
rnacentral:siRNA from 1 species